GACGAACGCUGGCGGCGUGCCUAAUACAUGCAAGUAGAACGCUGAAGGAGGAGCUUGCUUCUCUGGAUGAGUUGCGAACGGGUGAGUAACGCGUAGGUAACCUGCCUGGUAGCGGGGGAUAACUAUUGGAAACGAUAGCUAAUACCGCAUAAGAGUAGAUGUCGCAUGACAUUUGCUUAAAAGGUGCAACUGCAUCACUACCAGAUGGACCUGCGUUGUAUUAGCUAGUUGGUGAGGUAACGGCUCACCAAGGCAACGAUACAUAGCCGACCUGAGAGGGUGAUCGGCCACACUGGGACUGAGACACGGCCCAGACUCCUACGGGAGGCAGCAGUAGGGAAUCUUCGGCAAUGGACGGAAGUCUGACCGAGCAACGCCGCGUGAGUGAAGAAGGUUUUCGGAUCGUAAAGCUCUGUUGUAGGAGAAGAACGAGUGUGAGAGUGGAAAGUUCACACUGUGACGGUAUCUUACCAGAAAGGGACGGCUAACUACGUG
rnacentral:rRNA from 1 species